rnacentral:rRNA from 1 species
UACGGAGGAUGCAAGCGUUAUCCGGAAUGAUUGGGCGUAAAGCGUCCGCAGGUGGCAAUGUAAGUCUGCUGUCAAAGCGUCUGGCUCAACCAGAUAAAGGCAGUGGAAACUACAUAGCUAGAGUAAGGUAGGGGUAGAGGGAAUUCCUGGUGUAGCGGUGAAAUGCGUAGAGAUCAGGAAGAACACCAGCGGCGAAGGCGGCAUCCUGGACUGGUCCUGACACUCAGGAGCGAAAGCGUGGGGAGCGAUCCGG